CUUGGUUGAUCCUGCCAGUAGUCAUAUACUUGUCUCAAAGAUUAAGCCAUGCAUGUGUAAGUAUGAACUAAUUCAAAUUGUGAAAUUAUGAAUAGCUCAUUAAAUCAGUUAUAGUUUGUUUGAUCGUAUCUACCACUUGGAUAAUCAUAGUAAUUCUAGAGCUAAUACAUGAAACAAACCCCAACUUUUAAAAGAGAUGCAUUUAUUAGAUAAAAGGUUGACACGGGCUUUGCCUGUUGCUAUGAAGAUUCAUGAUAACUUGACGGAUUGUACGACCUUUAUGUUGGCGAUGCAUCAUUCAAAUUUUUGCUCUAUCAACUUUGGAUGGUAAGAUAGUGGCCUACUAUGAUGAUGAUGAGUGAUGGAGAAUAACGGUUCGAUUUUGAAAAAAACGCUUGAGAAAUGGCUACCACAUCUAAGAAAGAUAGCAAGCGUGCAAAUUACCUAAUCCUAACAUGAGAGGUAGUGACAACAAAUAACAAUAUCGGGUUUUAUAAGUUUGGCAAUUUGAAUGAGUACAAUCUAAAUCCCUUAAUAAAGAUCCAUUGAAGAGCAAGUUUGGUGCCAAUGGCAAUGGUAAUUCCAACUCUAGUAGCAUAUAUUUAAGUUGUUGUAGUUAAAAAGCUUAUAAUUAGAACUAGGAUUGGGUCAUCCAAUCCACCUCAUGAUAAGCACCAAUCUAUUCUUCCUUAUUAUUGGCAAUGCACUUCUGGCCUUAACUGGCUAGAUCAUCCCUCUAGCACUAUUACUUUGAAAAAAUUAGAGUACUCAAAGCAGGCCUAUGCUUGUAGAUAUUAGCAUGGGAUAACAUCAUAGGAUUUUGGUCCUAUUGUGUUGGUUUUUGGGAUCGAAGUAAUGGUUAAUAGGGAUAGUUUAAAGGCAUUCAUAUUUCAUAGUCAGAGGUAAAAUUCUUAAAUUUAUGAAAAAUGAACAACUACGAAAGCAUUUGCCAAGGAUGUUUUCAAAGAGUGCUUGAAAUUGUCAAGAGGGAAGUGGAUAGGGACUACCAUGUGCCCCAAUCAAAUAUGGAAUGGCUAGAGUCAGUCCGUCAAUUGACUUAGGGCAUGGACUAUUACAGAUUGUGAUGAUGGCCUAAGACUAGGCUUUUGAUAUGCCCAUAGAGAUGUCAUUAUUUCUAUCAUGGAAUGAAGCACAUGCUAUCUCAGCAUGCCUUGGCACCUAUGUGCUCCAAGCAUCAACCUGCAAGCUUCUCAUUCAACCUAUCUUGAAACACGAACCAAGGAGUCUGACAUGUGUGCAAGUUAAUAGGUUAGAAAACUUAUAAGGCAUAAUGAAGUUGAUUGACAAGAUCCUUUACGGGUGCACCUCUGACUGAGCUUAAUCUUCUGAAAAGGGCAUACCUAUCAGGACUCGAAAGAUAAUGAGCUAUGCCUAAGCAAAGCGAAGCCAGAGGAAACUCUAGUGGAGGCCUACAGUGAUACUAAUAUGAAAAAUAUUCAUAUGACUUGGGUAUAGGGGCAAAAGACUAAUCGAACCAUCUAGUAACUAGUUCUAUCUGAAGUUUUCCUCAAGAUAGUUAGAGCCCUUAGCAAGUUCUAUUAAGUAAAGCCAAUGAUUAGAGGCAUCGAGGUUGUAACACCCUCGAUC
rnacentral:rRNA from 1 species